rnacentral:rRNA from 1 species
UAACGCGAAGAACCUUACCAAGGCUUGACAUGCACGGAAAUCUGUCAGAGAUGGCAGGUCCUUUAAAGGGUCGUGCAUAGGUGGUGCAUGGUUGUCGUCAGCUCGUGUCGUGAGAUGUUGGGUUAAGUCCCGCAACGAGCGCAACCCUCGUUCUAUGUUGCCAGCACGUGAUGGUGGGGACUCAUAGGAGACUGCCGGGGUCAACUCGGAGGAAGGUGGGGAUGACGUCAAAUCAUCAUGCCCCUUAUGUCUAGGGCUGCAAACAUGCUACAAUGGCCGGUACAAAGGGCUGCGAUACCGCGAGGUGGAGCGAAUCCCAAAAAGCCGGUCUCAGUUCGGAUUGGGGUCUGCAACUCGACCCCAUGAAGUUGGAGUCGCUAGUAAUCGCAGAUCAGCAACGCUGCGGUGAAUACGUUCCCGGGUCUUGUACACACCGA